UAGAGAAGUUUUAUUUCUAGAUUUAAAAACUGAGUUUUUAAAAUGUUUUGAAUCACAGCAAGUUGAACAUGACCAUUAAAAUAUUACUAAGAAAUAAUUUUUUUUUGUCUUUUUUCCAUUUUUUGGGCCACUCCUGUAGGGAUGGAGGUUCCCAGCCAGCGGCUACAGCUCCAAUUGGACUCCUAGCCUGGGAACCUCNAAAAAAAAAAAAAAAAAAAAAAAAAGAAAGAAAAAAAUAACCAUGCCAACUGAACACUAUUUCAAGAAAUACUCUUGGCAUUUUGCUGAAAUUAGUUAAUGAGUGAUGUAUCACAUUUUGUGAUUCCAAACUUCUUUAAGAAUACUAACUGAAUUUUUAAUCAUUUGUUUUAAUAUGAAAUUAUUAUAUGUUAGUACAGACGUUGAAGGCUAUCAGUAAACCCGUGUUAGAACUUAAAUGAUUAUAAGAAAUCAAGAGUUUUGUAAAUACAUGAUAUUGAAAACUUCUUGUUUUAGGGUGCCUAGAAUAAAACUUCGAUCACAUAGUUUUUUGUGGUAAGUAUUUUUAGAAAUAAACUUUGAGCAUAAGAUUGAAUGCUCUUAGAAGACAGGGUUUGUAACUUUUAUUGCUAUAAACUAUACACUAUGACUAGCAUCCCUUCUACAAAAUGGGAAUUUAAUAAAUAUGUUAAUGAAUAGCUAUCCAUGGAAAUAACGUAUUUUAUUUCUUUUAUUGCUUUGUUUUCUUUUAUAAGCCUGCUUUCUUUUAGAGAAUCAUAUAAGUUACCAGGGAGGCUUAAGAUAUGAAAGCACAGUGUACUAUUUUUAUUAUGAGAAGUUCAAAGACCAUCUGCAUUUAUUAAUGAUCACCACUAAGCACUUCUUGGUAUUUAUUCUACUAAAUAAUGAGUUAUAAAGAUGGCAGAGUCAAACUGAGAGGUGAAUACCAGGCUCUCUCACUAGCUGGGAGAUUUGCUCUUUCACAUCUAUUUUUCAGCUUUAUUUUAGUAUCAUUCAUAUGUGUGCCUCUGCAAAAUGACAAAUUACCAUAGGCCCUGAACCUUUGGGUCAAUGUCAGUUUGAAAAUAGUCACUGAAUAGCUAGGGUCUCUGCAAGGAUCCUUAACCUGUAAGGGUUCUGUCUUCAGAAGGUCCAUGAAGCUCCUGAAAUUUUUUGCUGCAUUUAUGGAUUUGUGCAUACACAUUUUCUUUUUUUUUUCUGAGAAGAUGUCUGUAACAUUUAUGAGUACUAUCAAGUGUGUAACCCAAGAAAGGUUCAAAAGCUCUUCAGAGGCCUUUUACAUUGCAUAAAGGCUUGCCAUCUCAGUUCUUUGAUGUACAGCAUAUACUCUAGAGGAAUGAAGAUACUAUGUGUGUUUAUUUAUCAGUCUUAUUUUAAUUUUACAGUCUAGAAAAUUUGUGCCCUUUUCAUAAUACGUGGGUAUUUCUUUUUUAUGUGAACUCAUAUUUUGAUGCAAAUGCAGUGUGAGUGAAUGGAAUUGAUAAAUGUGAAUGAUGCUUUACAUAUUUUUAUUAUUUAUGUGCAUGAAUUCAUUACUAAAGAGGGGAAGAAAAUUUUUUUCAUAUUUUACUUGUAGUUCUUUUCAUGGAAUAGAAUAAUUUGAAAUAAAUUUUGGAUUGAAUUUAAAAUUUUCAUAUUCAAAAUAUACCUUUUUAAAAUAAGAGACCUGCUUUUAUGGAAGUACUAAUCCCUAACUCAUUCUAUAGAAAUGAGAUCUUAUACAAAAAAUAGUCAUAUGGUAUAUAGAGUAGACUAAACUAUAAUUGAUUAUUAUGAGUGUAUGUGAAUGUUUGUUUUGUUUGAACUGGAUUUUACGAUAGAGUCGGACUUCGUUAAAGCUUUAGCUGCUGCUUCCUGGACUUCUUUGUUGUCUAAGGGAAACAAACUUCCUAGAAAGUGGAACUAUAGAGAAAGUUAAAAAUAGACAAGAGAAUUAGAAGACCUAAUUACAGUCUAACCUUAAUUAAUAUUUUUGAACUUGAUGAGUAAUUUAUUUCAAAAUUACAGCACCCACUGUCAUGAAAUGUACCACUUGUAUAAACAAGCAAGUGGGAAACUGUUUUGCUGACUUAAAAUUAAAUUUUUGCAAACAAGACAUUUUUAUUCUGUCACCCAAAAAAGGAAGCAUAUUGGUUAUUUUAAUUAAUAAAAAAUAACUGGAAUUAAUAGCCAUUUUUUGGGUAUUUACUUGUUAUAGACACUUUCACAUGUCACCUCAUUCGAUCUUUACAACUGUCUGAGAUAAAUAAUACUGCCAUUUUGAUGAGGAAACUGAAGCAAAGUGACUUGUUCUAGGUGUUCUUUGGCAGGUAAUAAUAGGUGCUCAGUAUUUGUUAAAUUGAGUUACAUUGGUAUCUGUGACUCCCUAAUCCUUUCCUUCUUCGCUGUCUCCAUUUCUGCCUUUAUCUGUAGUUAAAUUAUGGCCUCAGGACCCUGGGCCUUGAUACAUAGAACGUGGACAUGUACCCAGUGUGGUUUGUGCCACCCUGUCAGCAAACUUUCAUCAUGUUGUUUAAGAGAAAUAGGACCUGGAGUUCCCGUCGUGACGCAGUGGUUAACGAAUCUGACUAGGAACCAUGAGGUUGCGGGUUCGGUCCCUGCCCUUGCUCAGUGGGUUGACGAUCCGGUGUUGCCGUGAGCUGUGGUGUAGGUUGCAGACGCAGCUAGGAUCCCGCGUUGCUGUGGCUCUGGCGUAAGCCGGUAGCUACAGCUCCGAUUGGACCCCUAGCCUGGGAACCUCCGUAUGCCGCGGGAGCGGUCCAAGAAAUAGCAAAAAG
rnacentral:lncRNA from 1 species